rnacentral:rRNA from 2 species
ACUGGUGAGUAACACGUGGGAAACCUGCCCAGAAGCGGGGGAUAACACCUGGAAACAGAUGCUAAUACCGCAUAACAACUUGGACCGCAUGGUCCGAGCUUGAAAGAUGGCUUCGGCUAUCACUUUUGGAUGGUCCCGCGGCGUAUUAGCUAGAUGGUGGGGUAACGGCUCACCAUGGCAAUGAUACGUAGCCGACCUGAGAGGGUAAUCGGCCACAUUGGGACUGAGACACGGCCCAAACUCCUACGGGAGGCAGCAGUAGGGAAUCUUCCACAAUGGACGAAAGUCUGAUGGAGCAACGCCGCGUGAGUGAAGAAGGGUUUCGGCUCGUAAAACUCUGUUGUUAAAGAAGAACAUAUCUGAGAGUAACUGUUCAGGUAUUGACGGUAUUUAACCAGAAAGCCACGGCUAACUACGUGCCAGCAGCCGCGGUAAUACGUAGGUGGCAAGCGUUGUCCGGAUUUAUUGGGCGUAAAGCGAGCGCAGGCGGUUUUUUAAGUCUGAUGUGAAAGCCUUCGGCUCAACCGAAGAAGUGCAUCGGAAACUGGGAAACUUGA